rnacentral:rRNA from 1 species
GAUGAACGCUGGCGGCGUGCCUAAUACAUGCAAGUCGAGCGAGCGGACGAGAAGCUUGCUUCUCUGAUGUUAGCGGCGGACGGGUGAGUAACACGUGGAUAACCUACCUAUAAGACUGGGAUAACUUCGGGAAACCGGAGCUAAUACCGGAUAAUAUUUUGAACCGCAUGGUUCAAAAGUAAAAGACGGUCUUGCUGUCACUUAUAGCUGGAUCCGCGCUGCAUUAGCUAGUUGGUAAGGUAACGGCUUACCAAGGCAACGAUGCAUAGCCGACCUGAGAGGGUGAUCGGCCACACUGGAACUGAGACACGGUCAAGACUCCUAAGGGAGGCAGCAGUAGGGAAUCUUCCGCAAUGGGCGAAAGCCUGACGGAGCAACGCCGCGUGAGUGAUGAAGGUCUUCGGAUCGUAAAACUCUGUUAUUAGGGAAGAACAUAUGUGUAAGUAACUGUGCACAUCUUGACGGUACCUAAUCAGAAAGCCACGGCUAACUACGUG